GUGGGGAAUUUUGGACAAUGGGCGCAAGCCUGAUCCAGCAAUGCCGCGUGCAGGAAGAAGGCCUUCGGGUUGUAAACUGCUUUUGUACGGAACGAAACGGUCCGGGUUAAUACCCUGGGCUAAUGACGGUACCGUAAGAAUAAGCACCGGCUAACUACGUGCCAGCAGCCGCGGUAAUACGUAGGGUGCAAGCGUUAAUCGGAAUUACUGGGCGUAAAGCGUGCGCAGGCGGUUUUGUAAGACAGGCGUGAAAUCCCCGGGCUCAACCUGGGAAUUGCGCUUGUGACUGCAAGGCUGGAGUGCGGAAGAGGGGGAUGGAAUUCCGCGUGUAGCAGUGAAAUGCGUAGAUAUGCGGAGGAACACCGAUGGCGAAGGCAAUCCCCUGGGCCUGCACUGACGCUCAUGCACGAAAGCGUGGGGAGCAAACAGGAUUAGAAACCCUAGUAGUCC
rnacentral:rRNA from 1 species